GUAGGGAGCAAGCGUUGUCCGGAUUUACUGGGUGUAAAGGGCGCGCAGGCGGGUCAAUAAGUCAGAGGUGAAAUCCUACAGCUCAACUGUAGAACUGCCUUUGAAACUGCUGAUCUUGAGUAUGGAAGAGAGAGACGGAAUUCCAGGUGUAGUGGUGAAAUACGUAGAUAUCUGGAAGAACACCAGUUGCGAAGGCGGUCUCUUGGUCCAAUACUGACGCUGAGGCGCGAAAGCGUGGGGGUAGCAAACAGGAUUAGAUACCCUGGUAGUCCACGCCCGUAAACGAUGAAUACUAGGUGCUGGGUCUUUAGAUUCAGUGCCGCAGCUAACGCAUUAAUAUUCCACCUGGGAGUACGAUCGCAAGGUUG
rnacentral:rRNA from 1 species